UUGGGCUAUGGCGACAUGUACCCCAAAACCUGGUCGGGCAUGCUGGUGGGGGCUCUUUGUGCACUGGCAGGGGUGCUUACCAUUGCCAUGCCUGUCCCAGUUAUUGUCAACAAU